UACGGAGGAUCCAAGCGUUAUCCGGAUUUAUUGGGUUUAAAGGGUGCGUAGGCGGCCUAUUAAGUCAGGGGUGAAAGACGGUAGCUUAACUAUCGCAGUGCCCUUGAUACUGAUGGGCUUGAAUGUACUUGAGGUAGGCGGAAUGUGACAAGUAGCGGUGAAAUGCAUAGAUAUGUCACAGAACACCAAUUGCGAAGGCAGCUUACUAAAGUAUGAUUGACGCUGAGGCACGAAAGCGUGGGGAGCAAACGGG
rnacentral:rRNA from 1 species